rnacentral:rRNA from 1 species
UGGGGAAUUGUUCACAAUGGGCGCAAGCCUGAUGACGCAACGCCGCGUGGGGGAUGAAGGUCUUCGGAUUGUAAACCCCUGUCGAACGGGACGAAAGACCCGGGAGCUAAUCAUCCUGGGAGUGACGGUACCGUUAAAGGAAGCCACGGCUAACUCUGUGCCAGCAGCCGCGGUAAUACAGAGGUGGCAAGCGUUGUUCGGAAUUACUGGGCGUAAAGGGCGCGUAGGCGGCCUUCUAAGUCAGACGUGAAAUCCCCCGGCUUAACCUGGGAACUGCGUCUGAUACUGGGAGGCUUGAGUAUGGGAGAGGGAUGUAGAAUUCCAGGUGUAGCGGUGAAAUGCGUAGAUAUCUGGAGGAAUACCGGUGGCGAAGGCGGCAUCCUGGACCAUAACUGACGCUGAGGCGCGAAAGCUAGGGGAGCAAACGGG